GGUGACCGCUGGCGGCGUGCCUAAUACAUGCAAGUCGAACGAGGUUGGUGCUUGCACCGACCUAGUGGCGAACGGGUGAGUAACACGUUGGGAACCUGCCCUUAUGACUGGGAUACCUAGAAGAAAUUUUAGUUAAUACCGGAUACGCCGCUUAGACACAAGUCUUUGCGGUAAAAGGAGCCUUCAAGCUCCGCAUUUGGAUGGACCUGCGGAAGAUUAGCUAGUUGGUAGGGUAACGGCCUACCAAGGCGAGGAUCUUUAGCUGAACUGAGAGGUUAAUCAGCCACAUUGGAACUGAGACACGGUCCAAACUCCUACGGGAGGCAGCAGUAGGGAGUAUUCGGCAAUGGGGGAAACCCUGACCGAGCAACGCCGCGUGAACGAUGAAGGCCUUCGGGUCGUAAAGUUCUGUGGUAGGGGAUGAAUGGCACAGGCAGGAAAUGGCUUGUGUUUGACAGUACCUUACUAGAAAGCUACGGCUAACUACGUGCCAGCAGCCGCGGUAAUACGUAGGUAGCAAGCGUUAUCCGGAAUUAUUGGGCGUAAAGAGUGAGCAGGCGGUUUGUUAAGUUUGAAGUUAAAUCCUGUGGCUCAACCACAGUUCGCUUCAAAAACUGGCAGACUAGAGUGUGGGAGAGGCAAACGGAACUCCGAAUGUAGCGGUGAAAUGCACAGAUAUUCGGAAGAACACCAGUGGCGAAGGCGGUUUGCCAGCCAAUACUGAC
rnacentral:rRNA from 1 species